rnacentral:tRNA from 1 species
GGAGCUGUGCUUCAAUAGUACAACAUCUGCUUUGAUUGCAGAAGGUCCCAGGUUCAAUCCCUGGCAUCCCCA